AAACCGUGUGCUUACAAGUAGUCAGAGCCCGUUAAUGGGUGAUGGCGUGCCUUUUGUAGAAUGAACCGGCGAGUUACGAUCUGAUGCAAGGUUAAGCAGAAAAUGUGGAGCCGUAGCGAAAGCGAGUCUGAAUAGGGCGAAUGAGUAUUUGGUCGUAGACCCGAAACCAGGUGAUCUACCCUUGGUCAGGUUGAAGUUCAGGUAACACUGAAUGGAGGACCGAACCGACUUACGUUGAAAAGUGAGCGGAUGAACUGAGGGUAGCGGAGAAAUUCCAAUCGAACUUGGAGAUAGCUGGUUCUCUCCGAAAUAGCUUUAGGGCUAGCCUCAAGUGAUGAUUAUUGGAGGUAGAGCACUGUUUGGACGAGGGGCCCCUCUCGGGUUACCGAAUUCAGACAAACUCCGAAUGCCAAAUAAUUUAACUUGGGAGUCAGAAUGUGGGUGAUAAGGUCCAUAUUCGAAAGGGAAACAGCCCAGACCACCAGCUAAGGUCCCAAAAUAUAUGUUAAGUGGAAAAGGAUGUGGCGUUGCCCAGACAACUAGGAUGUUGGCUUAGAAGCAGCCAUCAUUUAAAGAGUGCGUAAUAGCUCACUAGUCGAGUGACACUGCGCCGAAAAUGUACCGGGGCUAAACAUAUUACCGAAGCUGUGGAUUGUCCAUUGGACAAUGGUAGGAGAGCGUUCUAAGGGCGUUGAAGCAUGAUCGCAAGGACAUGUGGAGCGCUUAGAAGUGAGAAUGCCGGUGUGAGUAGCGAAAGACGGGUGAGAAUCCCGUCCACCGAUUGACUAAGGUUUCCAGAGGAAGGCUCGUCCGCUCUGGGUUAGUCGGGUCCUAAGCUGAGGCCGACAGGCGUAGGCGAUGGAUAACAGGUUGAUAUUCCUGUACCACCAUUAUUCGUUUUAAGCGAUGGGGGGGACGCAGUAGGAUAGGCGAAGCGUGCUGUUGGAGUGCACGUCCAAGCAGUGAGAU
rnacentral:rRNA from 1 species